ensembl:lncRNA
AUGGCAGCCCUCCCACCUGCACCUCAAAUGACGAACAUACUACAAUCUGUGACAGCGUGUGCGAUCUGGCAACUCUGCACUGGUCUAGCAAUCCGCCAGCUGGAAUGUUUUGGAGUCUCCAAAAGCAGCAAUUCAGCCCUCAGAAAAAAGUAUAAAGAGAAAGUGAGUGAGAAUUUUAUAAGAAAAUUGCAUUUUUGAGUCAGAGUGAAACAGAAUGUAACUUGUUUGAUGUGCUUGGUCUUGUUUGGACCAGAUGGAGUUAACCAAAUAUGAUCUUAUAACCCAUACCAGCAUGUGUAUUAGUGAAAAGUAGGACAUAACAGUAGAAAAUGUUCAAAUCUGGAUCAAAUCUGGAAUUGCUUUUUUACCCCUUUGCUAAGAGAUCUGUUCACCCGCCAACAUCAAAGCUCAAAACACUGCAGUAAGUUAAUUCAUCUUAAAAAAAAGAAAAGAAAAGAAAACAUCAACAAGUAGGUCAAGAGGUCUAAGAAAAACAGGAAAUAGAUCAAAUUCUAGCCAAGCAUUCAACCUCAUAAUAAUCCUUUUGGCAGUUGUGCAAAAGACUCCACAGACCAGAGCACUCAAGGUCAGUCGGGACAUAAGACCACAUGUACAGAUGACAGAGCAACAGAUACAUGAUGAACGUUAAGCAGUUGGCGAUGACUUAGCUGUAACCUCUCCCUGUUGAAUACGUGUCACGGUGCUGAAGGCGAGAAGCCACUGAUCACUCAAGCUGUGUGUUCCUGUCUCAUGGUAUUUACUUCAAUAAUACAAUGUUCAUUAAUCCAAUGGGUCCCAUUCCCCCAAAAAUUCCUGGGAUACUUUCUAAUUUUUUUUCCCCAGUUAGAGUUGUUUCUUGGCUGCAUGAAGGUCAGUCACAAACACACAAAGAUAGGAAGUCCAGAGAAGAAAAAGAAGCUUUGAUAGGAACACCGCUGUUGAUUAUUUACAGAACUUGGUGAAUUUGCUUUAUUUUAGAUGUCUCAUUUAUUCUGGGUUUGAUUCUGGGUUUAUUCAUUUAGUCAUGGGUUUGAUUCCCAGAUACUAAUUAUACUGAUGAAAUUGAAUGUAUUGUAGGUUGCUUUGAAAUAAAGUUUCUGCCAAAUGCU